GAAAGCACUUCUGAAGCUUCAGG
rnacentral:piRNA from 1 species